rnacentral:tRNA from 1 species
UCGGCGUUGGGCCACGGCAGCGGCGGCACGCCGGGCUGCAUGCCGUCGACGAUCAUGGCGUAGCCGUCGUCCCGCGCGGCGACGCCGAA